UUGUGGAGGAGGACGCCGAAGGUGGGGCUAUGACUGGGGUGAAGUCGUAACAAGGUAGCCGUACCGGAAGGUGCGGCUGGAUCACCUCCUAACAGGGAGACAAAACUGAUUAUGAUGUUUGAAUUAUUUAGCUUCAAGCCAUAAUCCUGUCACCUUAGGUCGAUCGGUACCUCAGUUUGAUAUUUAAAAACUAUUAAAUUCAGUUCCUAAACUUUGUCUAGGUCACACCCAGCAAGGGUACUCCUGGGCCAUUAGCUCAGGUGGUUAGAGCGCACCCCUGAUAAGGGUGAGGUCCCUGGUUCAAGUCCAGGAUGGCCCAUUCGGUGUUGGGGGUAUAACUCAGUUGGUAGAGCGCCUGCUUUGCAAGCAGGAUGUCAGCGGUUCGAGUCCGCUUACCUCCACUGAUCCACCUCUCCUGAUAACGAUCUUUGGGAGACCUUGUUUUAUGUGAUCUAGAUUUUGUUCUCUUAUGAAUGAACCUAGCUUCUUGUCAUUCUUGAAUUUUGGAUUGAUAGGACGCUGGGCUCCUGCAAAUUUUGCAGAGAUGUUCAGUAGAACCUUGACAACUGCAUAGAUAAGUCUGGAAAUGAAUAAAGCAUCUCAUGGAUGGAUUAUUCUUUCUAAUUAAAUUAAAUUUCUGGUUUCCAGGUAUUUGAUUUUUUUUAAAAUUAUAAUUUUAAUUCUUGAGCAAGAGCCGAGACCCUAUAAAGUUCUUUCUUUGCUAUAUGCAAUGAGAGUUAGAUUUUUGAUUUAGUUCUAAUAAAAGAAUCUAGAGAUAAAUUUAUCAAUAAAUUCUUUUAGAUGACAUAAAUCAAGGAAAAUAGUGUUAACAACACAAGGCUUUAUAGGGAUUAUUGGUCAAGCUACAA
rnacentral:misc_RNA from 1 species